rnacentral:lncRNA from 1 species
GUUUGAGAUAAACAAAGAACCAGAGUCCUAGAAGGGAUCCAUUAACAUUAAUAAGUUGCAGAGAAGAGGAAUCAGUGGAGGAGAUUGAAAAGAAGCAACCAUUGAAGUAGCAGGAAAAGAGACUGAGGCGAACUAGGAGCCAAAUGAAGAAAGUAUUUUAAGGAAGAGAGAAUGGUCACUGCUACUGAUUAUCAAACAAUAUGAGGACUCAGAACUCAUCAUUGGGUUUAGCAGUCUUGAGGUCAUUGCUGACCUGACAAGAAGAGAUUUCAUGAAUUGUAAUGAAAGCUUGACUGGAAUGGGUUUAAGAGAGAGUAGGAAGACACUAAUGGCAGCUCCUUUGAAGAGUUUUACUGCAAAGAUCUCUCUCCCUCUUUCUGACUUUAGAGCCUUGAGCCACUUUGUAUGAAUUUAGGCUACCCUAAAACCACCAUGGAACCAUGUGGGAAGUCUACAUGCCCAAGGAGCCACAGCUGCUCUCGUCCUGACUGUUUGGGUCCUCCCAGAUCUGGCAUCCGUGGGCAUGGAAGGAAGCAGGAGGUUGCUUCCCAAGUCAACUUCAAAGAGUCUUCUGAGGAGUAUUACUUAUAUGGCAACUGGGCUAUUGUGGGAAUAACAGUUUGUUAACCGAGUUAAGCAAAGGAGUGAUUGAAUCUGCCCUGGCAGAGUUGCAUUCUUGAAGAUAAGGGGCUAUGAUCUGAGACUCACAAAGUCUGAAGCUUUGAUAGUCCAAAGUCCCUGAACUUUGUCACACAGAUGGCUGAACUGCCAUCAGGGAAUUGAAACGAGAUCAUGAUGCAGCAAAUUCUCUGUGCGCCACGAUCCCAGUACUUAUUGAACGGUUUUGUAAACAGUAUAAAUAUUAACUUUGUCUCUUGUGUGGCAAGCCUGAGUUAGGUAAUAGUGCAACAGUAAUGACAGCCUCUGAAAGUGAGAUUUAGUCAGGUAAAUGAGAAAAGGAUUUCAGUUUUGCUAUUUGCUUUUGAUGGGCACGUGGAAAUGUCUGCCUCCAGGAAGUAACAGACAGGCACAUCAGUUCUCUAAAUACAUCCAUUCUCAACCUUAGCUGACUUCAGAAUCACCAAAAUACAGGAAGCUAGGCCCUACCCACAUCAGUUGAAUUUGAAAUUUAUGUGGGGUAGGGGUGGAAGGAUUUCUGGAAUUUUAAAUCCUGACUCAGAAUUGAGGGAGGAUCACUCUUCUCAUGCUACUGCAAAAAGUGUCUGAGACAUAAAUUUAAAUAUACUUAACUCUGAUUGUUAACUCUAUAUGCGUGCUGUUUGUUUACUGUCAUCAACACUGUGAUUAUUCACGGAAAUCCUGCCCCUUCCAUUCUUAGCACUAGUUCCUUAUCUGUAGCUCCCAAUGUUUAUUUCUCGUAAAGUUCCCCCCAAACCACAAUGUAAAUAUGGACAGAAACAGCCUAUAAUCUAUUCUAUGGCACCAGAAACAGUAUCUUUUAGUUACCAUGAAAAUUCUGACUCCUCUUGGAUAAGGGAAAAGGCAUCAUCUCUGCCAAAGUUGGAGGCCAAAUGUGGAGUUCUCAUAGCUCAGUGAGGCUGAAGGGGCUCCAGGAAAAGCGAAUAUAAAGACUCAGAAAAUCAUGGCUAUUAGAGUGGAAGGGACCUUGGUGCCUCAUCAUCUCAUUCAUGGGCAAGGGAAAUGAAAACAGAGAGGUCAGUACUUGUCCAAAAUCAUCACACACAGCCAGUUAGUGGGAUCAUUGGGUUGGGAGCUCAGGUCUCCCACUUCCCCGUCACCGUGGGAGGAGAGAGGAUGGAGUUUUGAGGAAAAGCAGAGUGGGCAUGGGGCAUGUCUCCCUCUUCCAUCAGAGC